rnacentral:lncRNA from 10 species
GGUUCAGUUUUAAUGAAAUCUUAAGGCAAAAAAAAAUCUUAAAUCCACAUGACUCACUUCAAAAGCAUAGGUCAAAUAUCACACUACUCAAGGAAAUAUUUUUCCUACCAUACCUUCCUUUACUCCUUAAACAUCUUGACCUUCCAUUAAAAUUGUGCUAUUAGAUGUUACCUAAACAAAUAACUUUUGUCUAGCCUCUACUUAGUCCUCUUUUCUUCUCUUACUUCUUCCCUCACUUCCUAUCCCAUCCCCAUCUCCACAAUUUUAUCUCCAUUAUUGCUUCCUUUUGUUCUUCCUUCAGGAUUUUAAGACUGCAGAGUUCUGGAGCCUGACUGCAGGGGUGAAAUCCUAAAUCCACCAUGUGGUGGGUGUGUGACCUUGAAGAAGUUACUUAAACUCUCUCCGCCCUCAGUGUCUAUAUUGACAUCUCCUUGGCUUUUCUGAGCACCUUGUUCUCCUCAAGAUACCAUAGACUCCCUACCCCAUCUCAAACAUACUGGGGUGUUUUUUACCUAUCUACCACCGAUCUUGCCACAGGUCAUAUUCAUACGUAUCUCGAGAUUAUCAAGAAACCAAGGUUGGUUGAAGCAGGACAAGGAAGAGCAGUUACAAGGUAGUGAGAGAUAUUGCAAGAAAGCCAAUGUCUCAGGACAAAAGGUAAUAAGCAAAAACCAGGACAUGUAAGAACAUUCUAGGAAUCUGUAGAAAUUCUCUGAAGGCAUCUUGAUUUCCUGAAGGCAUGCAAGACCCAGGAUCAAGCCCUGGAAUAUACAAAGUAAAGAAAAAGUAGAUCCUCAAAACUAAAAAAUACCUGUCAACAUAUUCAUUUAUACUUUUCUUGUGCUGUAAAUUAAAUAAAUAAAAUACAUAAUUCUGUAGUUUUUUUGUCUGAAUAUAAAAUUAAAUUGUUUAUUGCAGACAAUUUGAAAAAUGCAAAACCCAAGAAUCCCUCUUGAUCCUAAGAGUUAAAGAUAACCUUGAUCUCUAGCUCUAGUUCUGGCAUCUAUUGUUUAUUGUGUGAAUUACAUGUUCACAUCUUUCCUCUCUUGAUUCAUCUUUUGAAUGUAAAUGUGUAAGAAAUCUUUAUAUAUUAAUGAUGCUAAAUCUUUGCAUAUUAUAUAAUUAUAAAUAUUUCGUUUUUCCAUUUGUAUUAUCACUGUUUAUGCUAAGUGCUUAAAGAACAUUAUUUUAUUUAUUAUUCACAAAAAGCCUUAUGUGGUAGUUGCUAUAUUAUUAUAAUAACAAUGAUAAUAGUUGUUACUAUUAUCACAAUGACUAUUUUACAGAUAAGAAAAUUGAGCAUUUUGGGUUAAGUACCUUGUGCAAGGUCAUACCUAAUAAAUGGCAGAGUGGUUUUUUAAACCCGGAUGUGCCUAUCUCAAAAUCAGUGCUCUUGGCCAGUGGGUAUAUUAUCAUUGCAGGUGUUUUUAAUUUUCAUGUAUUUAAUCUAUCAAUCUUAUAGAUUGUUUUUUUCUUUUCACUUUUAUGCCUAGAAAGACCUUCCUCACCCCGUGAUCCAAAACAAAGUCAUGUCCAUUUUUCUCCUACUUAAAAAAAUUUCUUCUUCACAUUUACUUCUAUAUCAACUUGCAAUUUAUUUUAUAGUAUGUUAUAAGACUGUUUCUUUUUCUCACUAUGCUUUUAAUCAAUUAAUCUAGGAUCAUUUAUCUAAAAAUCCAUCUUUUCAUUGGUCUUGGAAAUAACGAUUUAUCAAUGUUAGUGACUUUACAUGUUUUGGAGUCACUUUUUAAUUAAUUGAUAAGAUACAACAGAGAAAGUCAUCCAUUCACCUAUUUUUAAAAUGCUUUGCCUAUAAUGCACCUAUUUAUUUUUCUAUAGAAACUUCAUAAAUAUUUGUAAAAUUUUAGAAAAACACUAGAGAUUUGGAAAGAAAUUUACAUUAGGUUUAUAAAUUAAUUCCAAGAACAGUAUCAUUCCCAUGACCAAAUGUUGACCUCAAUGACAUGGCAACUCAGAACUCAGUUAUUUUUCCUUGUUUAUUUUUUAUGGUUUUGGUGUGAAUCUUUAAAUUUGUUAAAAAGCUAAAUAAAUUGUAUUUUCUAUUCCACUUUGUUUAUUGCUCAAAUCAAAAUACGUAUGCAUCUAGGCAGAACUUAUUUCUCCUAAUAUAUGCCUUUUUUCACAAAAAUCACAUUGUUUUGUAUGCAUUGAAUAAUUUUAUAUUUUAAUAGAUAGUUUAACAUUUUUUCAAGUAUGUCAAUAAGAGGUCAUAUUUUAAAAGUAACUGAAUUUUCUCUCAUAAGUGGACAUUAUAAUCACUUAUUCAUUCACUCAAGUUAUUAGAAAUGCUCUCUCAGUAAAAAGAUGGAAUCAUUUUAAUACCUAACAUUAAUUGAGUUUGAGAUGUGUGCCAGACAUUGUUCUAAGAGUUUUACUCAUCUAGUCUACUGAAUACACUGGUUAUCUAAGUACAUAUUAUUGUUACCCUAAUUUACAUAUGAGUGAUUUCUUUGCUUGCCCAUGCUCAUAUGGCUAGUAGGUGUAGGGCUACAAUUUUAAUUCAUGCACUGUGAUGUUAGAACCUGUGCUUUUAACUUCUAUGUUGUCCCUGCCAUCUGGAGCUUCACAAUCCAGUGUAAAGGACAAGAAUGCAAAGCUACAUUUCCAACUGAGUGAAAAGUACCAGCUAUGAUAGGCUUAUGAUACACACAUAAAGCAAGUGUAAAACUACCUGGGGAAGUUCAGAAUGACUUGAUGGAUGAAGUAAAUAUGAAUAGAGUUUUGAAGGAUGAGUAAAAGAUCACUAGGUACAUGAGAGAAAAAAUAAUAAUGUUUUGGGCAGAGCAAACAGUAUGUGUAAGGAUAGGAGGUAAAAAAGAGCACAGCUCAUUUGGGUAUAAACAUGAGGCAGAGCACUUGUGGGAGGGCAGCAAGAGAUGAAUCCGGAAACUUAGACAGCACAGUUUUCCAAAUAUCAUUUUGACUUCCCUUAGCAAUUUUGCUUAGAUGUGAGAAAGGUCUGAACUCACAGUCAUUUUGUCACCCCAUUGAACAUCCUGUAUAUUUAUCAUUACUUAACUACUAUAUGUUAUUUAUCUAGAAAUAAUUAUAUCUGUAAAGAGGCAGUGGCAAAGUGAUCAUUUGGAGAAAAGAUUGAGUACUAUCUCUAUGAAUCCUUCAUUGUCUUCAUUUUGAUGAUUCUGUCAUUGUCAAGAUAGUUCAAAUAACAACACUGCUCACCAAGAACAUUCACAUAUACCACAUUAUUUCAUUAUCCCAAUAGUCCCAGGGGGAAAGAAUCAUAAACAGGCAUCUCUAUUUCACCAAUGAGAAAACUGAGACUUGAAAAUGAUGACUUACCCAAAACUAGAAAGUUACCUAAAUUACACCGGAACUCAUGUUUGCCUGUAAAAUAUAUCAGCAGUCCAUGUGCCGUAUAACACUAACUCUUACGCAGAUAUCGAGGAAAAUUAGAAGCAAACAAAAUACAGCUUACAUUAGUUGGCCAUCAUAUUUACUCAGGAGUUAGUACCACAGUGAACUCAGAAGCUGUAAGCACAGUAGGGAAAACCAAUACUCUCUGAAAAGUCCUAAAAGUAUAUGUUGACUGUUGAAUUGAAGCUUCAGGAUUUUUAACUAAUAUGUCUCUUAUUUCCAGAAGUUUGGCAUUCUACAUUUCAAGCUACAUAGAUGUUAUAGAUUUGAGCUAAGUAAAACCAUACUGAACCUCUAGCUAAGUUUAUUAGCUGAUUAGGAGAUACAGAAAGAAACUUGCAUUAACAUUUUUAGCAAUUCCUCCCUAAAACUGAGCAUUUAAAUACUUUUCAAUUUUCUACUGCCUUUCAGAAAUACCUCUACCAUCUUACAUAUUGAAUCAAGGUAAAUAUUUGAAAUACUGUCUAAAAUACAU